UCUGGGGAUACAGCUCAGUUGGUAGAGUGCUUGCCUCACAUGCACAAGGUCCUGGGUUCAAUCCCCAGCACCACAAAA
rnacentral:tRNA from 1 species